rnacentral:lncRNA from 1 species
GGGGCUCUUCUUCAGUUGUAGAUAUCCAGACCUAAAGUACUAUGACUUUUUACAUUCAUAACAAAUAAGGGGCUGCUUCUUAUCCUUCUCCUUGCUAUGCUCCCUUUUUAUAGGUGGCCUCUUCCUCAUCCCUUAUUUUUUUUUCUUCAUAAAUCUUUUAAACUUUCUAGUGAUGAGAGUAAUUUCUUCAUCUUGCUCUUCAUUUUCUGUUUCAUCGAAUUUCUCAUCGAGUUGAGCAGUGGAUUUGAAGGCGAUUGUCCUCUUUUUCUUGACAUCUUCUUCUUGAUGUUGUUUCAUGCUUAGCUCGUGUGUCAUUAGUGAUCAUAGAAGCUCCUCCAAAGGUAAGACAUUCAGAUCUUUGACUUUUUGAAUUGCGGUCACUUUAGCCUUCCAAGUCCUUGACAAAGACCUAAGAAUCUUUCUCACAAGAUCGCUGUUAGAGUAAGACUUACCAAGACUUUUUAGAUUAUUAAUAAUAUCUGUAAAGCGAGAAAAUAUUUUAGUUAUUGAUUCAUCAUGCUCCAUUUUAAAGAGUUCAUAUUUGUGCAUAAGCAUGUUGAUUUUUGAUUCCUUAACUUGAUUAGUGCCUUCAUGUGUUACUUCUAACCUAUCUCAUAUUUCUUUAGCUGAUAUGCAUGUUGAAAUAUGAUUAAACUC